rnacentral:rRNA from 1 species
AUUGAACGCUGGCGGCAUGCUUUACACAUGCAAGUCGAACGGUAACAGGCCUUCGGGCGCUGACGAGUGGCGAACGGGUGAGUAAUGCAUCGGAACGUGCCCAGUCGUGGGGGAUAACUAUCCGAAAGGAUAGCUAAUACCGCAUACGAUCUGCGGAUGAAAGCGGGGGACCUUCGGGCCUCGCGCGAUUUGAGCGGCCGAUGUCAGAUUAGGUAGUUGGUGGGGUAAAGGCUCACCAAGCCAACGAUCUGUAGCUGGUCUGAGAGGACGACCAGCCACACUGGGACUGAGACACGGCCCAGACUCCUACGGGAGGCAGCAGUGGGGAAUUUUGGACAAUGGGCGCAAGCCUGAUCCAGCAAUGCCGCGUGCAGGAAGAAGGCCUUCGGGUUGUAAACUGCUUUUGUACGGAACGAAACGGCUCUGGUUAAUACCCGGGGCUAAUGACGGUACCGUAAGAAUAAGCACCGGCUAACUACGUGCCAGCCGCCGCAGUAAUAC